GAUGAACGCUGGCGGCGUGCCUAAUACAUGCAAGUCGAGCGAACAGACGAGGAGCUUGCUCCUCUGACGUUAGCGGCGGACGGGUGAGUAACACGUGGAUAACCUACCUAUAAGACUGGGAUAACUUCGGGAAACCGGAGCUAAUACCGGAUAAUAUAUUGAACCGCAUGGUUCAAUAGUGAAAGACGGUUUUGCUGUCACUUAUAGAUGGAUCCGCGCCGCAUUAGCUAGUUGGUAAGGUAACGGCUUACCAAGGCAACGAUGCGUAGCCGACCUGAGAGGGUGAUCGGCCACACUGGAACUGAGACACGGUCCAGACUCCUACGGGAGGCAGAAGUAGGGAAUCUUCCGCAAUGGGCGAAAGCCUGACGGAGCAACGCCGCGUGAGUGAUGAAGGUUUUCGGAUCGUAAAACUCUGUUAUUAGGGAAGAACAAAUGUGUAAGUAACUAUGCACGUCUUGACGGUACCUAAUCAGAAAGCCACGGCUAACUACGUG
rnacentral:rRNA from 1 species